GUACAUGUACAUACAUACAUAUGUAAUGUAUAUGUACAUACACACAUACGUACAUGUACAUGUACAUUCGGUAUAGGUGAAGGUACGUACGCAAAAAGUAGUGAACACAAAAUUUAUACGUCCAUUAUCUACAUGUAUUCAUAGCAGUACAUGAAGUACACAUGUAUAUAUAUAGACACAUAUGGUGGAUGUGUGCGCAUACAUAUUUUGCAUGCAUUAAUUAUGUGCAUAUCUGUGCACAUGUCGUGUAUGUGUAUCUGUAUGCAGACACAUAUACAAGACAUACAUACUACGUAUGUAUGUAGGUGUGCAUGCUCGGGUACGGUACGGCACUGGUGACGUAUGAAGAGAUGUAGCGCAUAAUUAUACUCGUCUCUUUCAAGUGGCGCGCUUGCAUUCACACAGGUGCAAUCAGGGGUGACGAAUGACAAAUUGUGAAAUAAAUUGAUGAAUUGAUUAAUUGAUCAAUUUAUUGAUAAUUUGUCAUCGUUCACCACUGCUGCAACAUAUGUGGAGCAUACGCACGCAUGCAUGCAUGCAUGCAGAGCAUAUAUGGAAAUGUAUAUUCGCGCAUGUGGUGACUGCCCGGUGCAUCCACGCGUAUAGUGAAUGCAGUCAUGUACUCUGCAUGCAUGACGCACACAGUGUAGUAAUAGUGUUCAUAACCCGUAUUGUAGUAUUUGUCACAUCGGUUGGGGGAACAUCGCGCGUAAACGUUUUUUUUUACGAGCGGCACGGGCGCGGGAUUUAUAAAUUUUGACCUGCGUAUUAGGGUCACACCAUGUCGGCGUAAUGUAGUAGACACCCCCCAUGAUGAAUGUCCCCCCAUGCAUUGUGUGUGGGCGUGGGCAUGUCUAACAGGACACUUGGAACAUGUGAAUGGACAUUUUACCUUUAUUAGCCACCCAUGCUCAAUGUAUGGGGGGAUGCUCGCCAUAAGGGGGACACUUGCCAUGAGAGGGGGACACUUGCCAUAAGGGGGGGAUGUCUAUCACAAUGACAUGCUACCGGAUGCUACGCUAGGGUGGAGAAAUGCAGCGGUCGAGUUUGCUUCUAGUCUACCUGUCGCCGUAACGUUUAUCGACAUCACCGCGCAUUGUCGUAUGACGUGUGCCGAGCGUUGGUAUGCCACCGUGCGCGAGCGGUUACGAUUGGUGGCUGCACAGGACAUCGUGACUGGUCGCUGCUACGAGCGGUUGUGAUUGGUCGCACUGGCGAGCGAUUUUGAUUGGUCGCUGCCGCGAUCGGUUGUGAUUGGUCGCACCGGCGAGCGAUUGUGAUUGGUCGCGCCGGCGAGUGGUUGUGAUUGGUCGCUGCCACGAACGGUUGUGAUUGGCCGUCGUACGUAUUUGCGCCGCGUCACGUGAUCGAAAGUGUGUAUAUAUAUCUGUACGUGUGCGUGCGCGUCUGUCUCUAUCGAUAUGUCCGUGUUUUUUUUCUGUACGACCGCGUGUAUUAGGAAUGCGAGGUUAUUGGAAAUAAAUGAGUCCUGUGUGCGGAGCAGGUAGGGAAAAAACGAA